UACGGGGGGGGCAAGCGUUGUUCGGAAUUACUGGGCGUAAAGGGCUCGCAGGCGGCCGACUAAGUCAGACGUGAAAUCCCUUGGCUUAACCAAGGAAUGGCGUCUGAUACUGGACGGCUUGAAUCCGGGAGAGGGAUGUGGAAUUCCAGGUGUAGCGGUGAAAUGCGUAGAUAUCUGGAGGAACACCGGUGGCGAAGGCGGCAUCCUGGACCGGUAUUGACGCUGAGGAGCGAAAGCCAGGGGGAGCAAACGGG
rnacentral:rRNA from 1 species